AGACUACAUGAUUGGUAUUGUUAUGGAUAUACUGCAUAAAAAAUAUUUUCUAGACUUAUUAACAGCCUGAAUUUUUUUCAAACUUAUAAAUUAUAUAAAGAAGGACUAAAAUUCAUUUUGCAAUGUUUUAUUUCUUUAAAAAUUGCUACUUUCUAAAAUUCUCUUAUUCUUGAACAAAUAGAUUUUUGUCCAAGAAACACCAAUAUUUGGACAUUUAAAAUUUUUCCUUAUAGUUUGUUCCUGUUAUAUUUAUGUUCAGUUUUUGAAGGACAGCUUAUGCUUGUAUUACUUCAAACCAGAGGUCGCUAACUGGUGGUCCGAGGACCACUGAAGGUCCAUGAGGUCUGAAUGGUUGGCAGCCGUUGCAAACAACUAGUAUUGAAAGGCCUCAAUUAUUGUGUAACAUGCAGUGAUACUUAACUGUACAGCAAAGUCUGAGUGCUUACUCACUCUAAGCUUCUCUAGUUCUGUGUCUUCCCCCAGUCUGUAAUCUAUACCAUGGCCUUUUCACACUUACCCUGUUCAUAGGUUAUGUGCCUUUAGUGAUCUUUAAUGACUUCACUUGUUGAAAAUGGGGGAAAUAAAUAUUUAAAAAAAAAUAAAGAAUAAAGAGCAGGAGAACAGAGCUAAAAGAAAUAGCAGACUUAAUUUACUUCUCUGAGAGUCUAAGGAUUCCUUAAGUGUUUUCUUCUUUUGGCUUUUCAAAUCCAACUUGUGCUAAAUAAAAAGGUAUGGUUGGUGCUGUCAUAUACUAGUACUCAUACAAUUGCCAAAGACCCCAGUAGGGUAAAGACCAAAUGGAAGCAAAAAUAAAAGAAGAUAAAACAGGAGAGUUUGGUUUCUUUCCCUGCAUCCUUUCUGACCUGCAUUGUACGACUGCUGUUAAUUGCCCUGCAGUUUUUGAAAUAUUUGAGGUGCCUACUAGUUCACAGUAACAUGUGAUAGAAACACAUUCUAAAUUAUACAAAUCGAAGAAACUAUGUUACAUGAAAAAUCACAGAUGGCAGAAACAUCCUUGGUGUAAACAUUGGCAGAUAAAAAUGCAUCCACCGGAUGCAGAAUUUGCACAGUGUUUUUUAUUAAAGGACUUUGUGGGUUACAGAGAGUUUCUGUUGGGGUUUCAUCCCACUUUUCAGGAUUUUAUUGCCUUUGGAUUUGCUUACCUAACAAAUAAAGAGCCCAGUUACAAAAUAUGGUUUAUGACAUAA